rnacentral:rRNA from 1 species
AUUGAACGCUAGCGGGAUGCUUUACACAUGCAAGUCGAACGAGUGGCGGACUGGUGAGUAAUAUAUCGGAACGUGCCCAGUAGAGGGGGCUAACUCCUCGAAAGAGUGGCUAAUACCGCAUACUAUCGGUACGGCCGAUAUCGGAUUAGCUAGUGGGUGGGGUAAAGGCUCACAAAGGCAAAGAUCCGUAGCUGGUCUGAGAGGAAGACCAGCCACACUGGGACUGAGAGACGGCCCAGACUCAUACGGGAGGCAGCAGUGGGGAAUUUUGGACAAUGGGGGAAACCCUGAUCCAGCCAUCCCGCGUGUAUGAGAAGGCCUUCGGGUUGUAAAGUACUUUUGGCAGAGAAGCGGUAUCUGCAGAAUAAGCACCGGCUAACUACGUGCCAGCAGCCGCGGUAAUAC